ensembl:snRNA
GAGUUAUCUAAAAGGAGAGAAAGCUAGCACUCCCCUUGAGAAUGAUGGAAGAGGCCCUUGGGCCUAACAACACAUAUAUGGUUAAGGCAUUGCCACCUACUUGGUGACAUUUAAUCAGUGUUUUUC